rnacentral:tRNA from 1 species
GGUAAGGGACAGGCGUCGCCAGCGGUUUCAUACGCCGCCAUGCGCCGGUUCGAGUCCGGCCCUUACUUCCA